rnacentral:rRNA from 1 species
AUUGAACGCAGGCGGCAGGCCUAACACAUGCAAGUCGAACGAGUGGCGGACGGGUGAGUCAUGUCUGGGAAACUGCCCGAUGGAGGGGGAUAACUACUGGAAACGGUAGCUAAUACCGCAUACCAUCGGAUGUGCCCAGAUGGGAUUAGCUAGUAGGUGGGGUAACGGCUCACCUAGGCGAAGAUCCCUCGCUGGUCUGAGAGGAUGACCAGCCACACUGUAACUGAGACACGGUCCAGAAUCCUACGGGAGGCAGCAGUGGGGAAUAUUGCACAAGGGGCGCAAGCCUGAGGAAGCCAUGCCGAGUGGAUGAAGAAGGCCUUCGGGUUGUAAAGUACUUUCAGCGAGGAGGCGUUACUCGCAGAAGAAGCACCGGCUAACUCCGUGCCAGCAGCCGCGGUAAUUC